GUGAAAAGAGAGAAAUGAUUCUACAGAGUUGUCUUCUGAUCGCCACACUUGUACUGUGACAUGUGUACGUAUCUGCACACAGCCAUCAUGGACAUACAGAAACUGACACAUUAAUGCCUGAAUUGCUAUGAUAACUUUGACCAUCACUACCCUGCUGAGUCACAAAGUCUAAGUGGCAACCUGACCUGAAGCAGGUGGGUCUGUUCAGCACUGUCUGCUGCACUGGGGUAUGAACUGAGGACUCUCAGCCAAGGAGGAUAUGAUAUACAUUUUGAUAGUUAAUGUAUUCCUGAACUAAGAAGCACUUUAGUCCUGCAGCAAACACCAAAUAUGAACCAACAGCUACAGUGCAGUCCUCUUCGCAUGUGAUACGACACACAAACCAGCAGCUGUAAUUAAAUCCUAAAGGAACCACAAGGCUCACCAACCAGCCCAAGAUGAGAAUUCUGCGGAAGUGGCAAGAAGCUGCAGGAAGCUCAUGAGUUCUUUGGGAGAAUAAAUCAGCAGGAAGAAAAUCUCAACCUUGCUUCCUCAUUCUACAUCUCAUGCAAAUGUGUAUAAUGGGAGCAACCUAAGUUGUCACCUUUCAAACUUCUGCAAUUCAAGAGGAUGCAACUUAAACGAGACUGGAAUGGAUGCUGAGAAGCAACCUAGCCUAGCUCAUCUUUAUUCUAAUCCAUCGUGUAUGGAAUCUCAU